rnacentral:rRNA from 1 species
GACGAAGGGGGCUAGCGUUGUUCGGAAUUACUGGGCGUAAAGCGAGUGUAGGUGGUUGUCCAAGUUGGAUGUGAAAGCCUUGAGCUCAACUCAAGAAAUGCAUUCAGGACUGGGCGGCUAGAGGACCGGAGAGGAUAGUGGAAUUCCCAGUGUAGUGGUGAAAUACGUAGAGAUUGGGAAGAACACCAGUGGCGAAGGCGGCUCUCUGGAACGGUACUGACGCUGAGACGCGAAAGCGUGGGGAGCGAACAGG